GGAUGAACGCUGGCGGCGUGCCUAAUACAUGCAAGUCGAGCGAACAGACGAAGAGCUUGCUCCUCUGACGUUAGCGGCGGACGGGUGAGUAACACGUGGAUAACCUACCUAUAAGACUGGGAUAACUUCGGGAAACCGGAGCUAAUACCGGAUAAUAUAUUGAACCGCAUGGUUCAAUAGUGAAAGACGGUUUUGCUGUCACUUAUAGAUGGAUCCGCGCCGCAUUAGCUAGUUGGUAAGGUAACGGCUUACCAAGGCAACGAUGCGUAGCCGACCUGAGAGGGUGAUCGGCCACACUGGAACUGAGACACGGUCCAGACUCCUACGGGAGGCAGCAGUAGGGAAUCUUCCGCAAUGGGCGAAAGCCUGACGGAGCAACGCCGCGUGAGUGAUGAAGGUCUUCGGAUCGUAAAACUCUGUUAUUAGGGAAGAACAAAUGUGUAAGUAACUAUGCACGUCUUGACGGUACCUAAUCAGAAAGCCACGGCUAACUACGUG
rnacentral:rRNA from 1 species